rnacentral:rRNA from 1 species
UACGUAGGGUGCAAGCGUUGUCCGGAAUUAUUGGGCGUAAAGGAGCUCGUAGGCGGUUAGUCGCGUCUGCUGUGAAAACUCGGGGCUUAACUCCGGGCCUGCAGUGGGUACGGGCUGACUAGAGUGCGGUAGGGGAGGACUGGAAUUCCUGGUGGUAGCGGUGAAAUGCGCAGAUAUCAGGAGGAACACCGGUGGCGAAGGCGGGUCUCUGGGCCGUAACUGACGCUGAGGAGCGAAAGCGUGGGGAGCGAACAGG